UUUAUUUUCUUUUCUCCUCAACUCAGCAUUUUCUUUAAACAAAAUUUAGAAUUUGGCCGCAAUGGGUCAACGCUGGGGCCAAAAAUCCACAGGUUUAUCUCUCCAUCCCGGCUGGUUUCUAGUCCCCCUCCCCCUCUUCCCUCCCAGGCUUAAUCAUAUUUUGGAACGGGUGAGGUCUUUUGUUGGGUGGGCACCUCCUGAUUGCUUGUCUGUUUAUUUUUUAAUGUGCAACUAAUUUGAUUUGAAUUUCCUCCAGUUUCCAGGCCUUCCUAGGGAAAGCUAAGGGAGAGGGAAUAUGCUUUUUAAAAUCGUUUUCUUUCUUUCUCCUUCUCUCCCUCCCUCCCUCCCUCCCUCCCUUCCUUCCUUCCUUUCUUCCUUCCUUCCUUCCUUCCUUCCUUUUCUUCUCCUCCUCCUCCUUGUUCUUUUUUUUUUUUAAAUAAAUGUGGCAGGAGGUGGGGCAUUGAGAAUGGGGAGGCACGGUGGUUGUGGGCAAAGAGUCAGAAGGAGCAGACAGACCCGGAAGAAAAGGAAUCUGCUCUGGAAUAACACUUUUUUUUUGAGGCUUCAGGCCUUGGGCAAAAUUGCUUCGCUCUGUAAUGAUUUCUGCUGCCGGAGUUGCUCCUCCACCCCUAAGUUAAAGCUGUGACCCUAGGUGCCUGGGCAACGCCCCACAGUGGAUAGCAGCCGGGAGCGCUGGUUUUGUGCCUUUUGUGGGGGCCCUUGGUUCCCCCUCAUUGGAGGCUGACUCUGAAAUUUACUGGAUCAGUAAAUUUCCUGGCUCCCUGGGAGCAGCUGUUAACGAGGAUAAAGUCUUUGGGCAUGUUUCUGGCCCUGCGAAAGGACCUCACCCAUGAAGGUACAAUUCUCACUUUGUUUAGAUACCAGAGGGGCACCCACAGGCUGACUGAGAAUGAGGCAUAGUUGAUUAAAAAAAAAAAAAAUCAGUCAUUACAAAAUUGUUUUUAAACUCACGUGCUUUUAAAGUGUUGUGGUUUAAAUGACUUUAAGAUAAAAAAAAUUCAUCUGUAAAGAUAGUGUUCAUUUAAAAGAUGUUAAAACUGCAGGAUCUCAUCAUGAAAUAGGAGGUUGUAGCUUCUAAUUACAGUAUACACAAUUUCAGAAAGAUAUUCCGGUAAUCUUUUAAGACAGACUUUAUAAAUAGCGCACAUCAGACGAUGGGUUAUAUUGGAGAGCCAGUCUUCUGGGGUUUCUUGAAGAAUGCUUGGGAUCUGUGAGGAAGCUCUAGGCCCUUGGAGCCUAGGUAACAGUUUACUCAGUAGGAGUUUGUGCUCCUUUUGCUCAAUACUUUAUUUAACCUGGUAGCAUUUGAUUGAUAGGUUCAUUAGAAGCUAACUAGAAGAAUUUCCCACACUUGUCAGUUUGGAAAAUGAGGCCCCGGAAGGGAAAGUGACUUAUCGAGGGUCACCAUUAUAGACGAAAGUUUAAUACAGGAUUGUGUUAAUAGCUCCUUUCUGGGAUAUCUGAUGUGUACUAAGCACUAAUUCCUGUGCUUUUAUACAUUAUCUCAUUAAAAUUCUAAUAGUCUUUCGAUUUAGGUUGUGUUAUGCACACUUUACAAAUAAGGGCAUCGAGAUUUACAGAAAUUAAGUAACUUGCAUAAGAUCACGUAGCUACCAACGGUGUCAUCCAAUGGAAUUUUCUUAAGUGUUGGAAAUGGUUCUGUCUGUGCUGUCCAGUUUAGCAGCCACAAGGCACAUAUAACUGUCUUUGAAAUGUAACUAGUGGACUGAGAAACAACAGUUUAAUUAUUUUUUUUGGAAUGGAGUCUCGCUCUGUCACCUAGGCUAGGGUGAGUGCAGUGGCGCAUUCUCGGCUCACUGCCACCUCCGCCUGGCGAGUUGACAUGGAUUCUCGCUCUGUCUCCCGGGCGGAGGUUGCAGUGAGCCAGGAUCACGCCACUGCACUCCAGCCUGGGCGACAGAGCUAGACUCUGUCUCAAAA